GCCUGAUUGGCUCAGUUGGUUAAGCGGCCGACUUCGACUCAGGUCAUGAUCUCACAUUUGUGAGUUCGAGCCCCACUUCAGGCU
rnacentral:tRNA from 1 species